AUUGAACGCUGGCGGCAAGCCUAACACAUGCAAGUCGAACGAGUGGCGGACGGGUGAGUAAUGUAUGGGAAACUGCCUGAUGGAGGGGGAUAACUACUGGAAACGGUAGAUAAUACCGCAUACCAUCGGAUGUGCCCAGAGUGGAGUAGCUAGUAGGUGGGGUAAAGGCUCACCUAGGCGACGAUCCCUAGCUGGUCUGAGCGGAUGACCAGCCACACUGGAACUGAGACACGGUCCAGACUCCUACGGGAGGCAGCAGGAGGGAAUAUUGCACAAUGGGCGCAAGACUGAUGCAGCCAUGCCGCGUGUAUGAAGAAGGCCUUCGGGUUGUAAAGUACUUUCAGCGGGGAGGCGUUACCCGCAGAAGAAGCCCCGGCUAACUCCGUGCCAGCAGCCGCGGUAAUUC
rnacentral:rRNA from 1 species